AUUGGUUUUUAGAGUUGUGGUCUGGUUCAGAUUAACGCUAGCGGCAGGCCUUACACAUGCAAGUCGAGCGGCAGCAGGGACUUCGGUCUGGUAUUGAGUGGCGAACGGGUGAGUAAUGUAUCGGAAUGUGCCCAGUAGCGGGGGAUAACUUCGGGAAAGGGUAGCUAAUACCGCAUACGUCCUGCGGGAGAAAGCAGGGGAUCUUAGGACCUCGCGCUAUCGGAGCGGCCUAGAUCGGAUUAGCUAGUUGGUGGGGUAAAGGCUCACCAAGGCGACGAUCCGUAGCUGGUUUGAGAGGAUGAUCAGUCACACUGGAACUGAGACACGGUCCAGACUCCUACGGGAGGCAGCAGUGGGGAAUUUUGGACAAUGGGGGAAACCCUGAUCCAGCCAUCCCGCGUGUGCGAUGAAGGCCUUCGGGUUGUAAAGCACUUUAGGCAGGAAGGAAGGGCAGUGGGUUAAUACCCCGCGAAUUUGACGUUACCUGCAGAAUAAGCACCGGCUAACUACGUGCCAGCAGCCGCGGUAAUACGUAGGGUGCAAGCGUUAAUCGGAAUUACUGGGCGUAAAGCGCGCGCAGGCGGUUCAGCAAGUAAGAUGUGAAAUCCCCGAGCUCAACUUGGGAACUGCAUUCUAAACUACUGAGCUAGAGUGUGUCAGAGGGAGGUGGAAUUCCGUGUGUAGCAGUGAAAUGCGUAGAUAUGCGGAGGAACACCGAUGGCGAAGGCAGCCUCCUGGCAUAGCACUGACGCUCAGCUCGAAAGACGCUCCCGCU
rnacentral:rRNA from 1 species